AGCUGCCACCCUCCCCCGCCCCAGAUCAGGGGCUACCGCCGUCGCGAGAGCGCAAGCUCCGAGGGCCGGCCCUACCACCAUCGCGGGAGAUCCAACCGAGAAGGUGCGAGGAGAGCCCACUGUCGCGUCUUGUUGGUGGGCCGCCGUUGCCCGGUAUCUCGGUGCCGCUGCCGCUAGGGAGCCUGCUGCUCUCAAGGAAUCUGCCCGUGGAGCCGUCCGAGGAUCCCACCGCCGUCGUCGUCGUCGCCGCCGGGGAGCCCGCCCAAGGAUCAAGUCGCUGCUGCCCGGGACGACUUUGCAGAUCCACGCUCGUACAUGUCAGAUCCACCCUCCCCCACCCCAGAUCGGGGGCUACAGCCCGAGCUCACCCCUCCGCUGGGCCAUCAAGCUUGAGGAAGGAGACCCAAUCUCAACACUCCGCCACUCAUUUGCGGUCAGUCCGCGGAAGGAGAGCAAGGCACCAGUGUGGAAGGAGAGAAUCUGCCCGGCCUCAAGCCCACCGUUUGAGCUCGCCGGUUGCUCGUUCCCGAGUGUUUGUCCCUAUCCUGCAUCAUGUAGGGCCGCUCUCUUCCCUAGAUUGGUUGCUGCCAUCGAUGGAGGCGACCGAUCUUAGCGCUAUCAGAGGCCCCGUCUCCAAUAGCCACCAUCUGGGCUACCCACCAUCACUGGCCACGCUGUCGUCAAGGGUCCUCCCUCUUCAGACCAUGUUGCUAAUGUUGUCGGAUGCUGUUGCAAGGAGCAAGUCAGAGAGGAGCUUUGCCAUCAAGAGGUGGGCUUGGGGCAGGUGUUAUCGCUGCCUCGCACAUGAUCACCAAGACAGCUCAUGCAAGAACUUCUGUUGCAACCGCUGUCGCCGCCCAGGUCAUCGGGAGCGACAUUGUCGCUUUUGGUUUCCUCUUCUGCCCGUCGAGUUAACUCCUCUAAGCAAUGUGACCAUCCUCAACAAUCGAGGACUUGGGCUGAGGUAGUGGCCAAGCCUUCGCCAAGUACGUUGUUAGCUGACGUCAUCGCCAAGUCUCAAUUGCAAGAACAUCGCAAUCCUUUGUUGGCUUCUCAACCCAUCGAUUUGCAUGGUAAGGACGACGAUCCUGUUUGUCAUAGCUGUUGUUGUGCCUCUCUUGACUCGACACCUUUGAACCUUCAGUCCUUGAUCACCCCUUUGGCCGAGUCGUUGUGAGCAAAGUUUCAACAUAUGUUUUCAA
rnacentral:misc_RNA from 1 species